CUUGUAUUCCCUCCGUCCAACAAAAGAUGUCUCAAGUUUGUCAAAAUUUGGAUGUAUUUAUGAUUUAGUCAAAGUUGAGACAUCCUUUGUUGGACGGAGGAAUACAAG
rnacentral:pre_miRNA from 1 species